rnacentral:rRNA from 1 species
CGGCGGACGGGUGAGUAACACGUGGGUAACCUGCCUGUAAGACUGGGAUAACUCCGGGAAACCGGAGCUAAUACCGGAUAGUUCCUUGAACCGCAUGGUUCAAGGAUGAAAGACGGUUUCGGCUGUCACUUACAGAUGGACCCGCGGCGCAUUAGCUAGUUGGUGGGGUAAUGGCUCACCAAGGCGACGAUGCGUAGCCGACCUGAGAGGGUGAUCGGCCACACUGGGACUGAGACACGGCCCAGACUCCUACGGGAGGCAGCAGUAGGGAAUCUUCCGCAAUGGACGAAAGUCUGACGGAGCAACGCCGCGUGAGUGAUGAAGGUUUUCGGAUCGUAAAGCUCUGUUGUUAGGGAAGAACAAGUGCGAGAGUAACUGCUCGCACCUUGACGGUACCUAACCAGAAAGCCACGGCUAACUACGUGCCAGCAGCCGCGGUAAUACGUAGGUGGCAAGCGUUGUCCGGAAUUAUUGGGCGUAAAGGGCUCGCAGGCGGUUUCUUAAGUCUGAUGUGAAAGCCCCCGGCUCAACCGGGGAGGGUCAUUGGAAACUGGGAAACUUGAGUGCAGAAGAGGAGAGUGG